rnacentral:ncRNA from 2 species
CUCUUAUCAAGAGCAGGUUGAGGGACUAGCCCGAUGAUACCCGGCAACCGACAAUCCUUUGCAGACAACAGGCAGGUAAACAGACACGAAGCGAAGGCAUUGCACGGUGCUAAUUCUUGCGGAAGCGUAACGGCUUCUGAUAGAUGAGAG